AUGGGAGUGAUAAUGAUCGUGAGUACCGGUCAUCUGAUUCCCUCGUUGGUUGUUAAUUUAUGUACAAAUGUAGAAAACUUAUGGUAUCAAUCACACAGAACAAGAACAAAGCAAUAGCGACAAAACAGUGACCAAAAUCUUAUUAUUCACCCAAACCAGAAAACACCCCCCAAUACCCAAUGAUCUUACUAAAUGUAAGAUCUAUAUGAACAGAUGUUCAGAUCAACUGAUUUAAUCAGUUGAUCUAUAUGAAUACAAUACAAACAAGAACAAUACAGAAAGAAACAACCUGAUCUACAAAGCUUGAUCUCACAGUUGAGAUCUCACCAACAACACCAGCAGAUCAGUACAAUACAACAACAAGAAAUACAAAGGGUGAAACUAGAUCGGAGUGAAUGUGGAAGAUGAACAGAGAUGAUGGAUCUAGAACAAUGAGAGAGAAACUCUCAUUAUAUACCACAAAUAUCUAAUGUUACAUCCAGCACCCUUGAACUAUCUCCCAAUAUACACCGACUCAAUGAAAGUUGCAAUAAGGCCCUCCAACUAUAUCAAUCUGUUACAACAACUUUGUCAAUCAGUUAGAGAUUAUAAAAUGGAAUAUUUGAAUGAACACUUUAUAUAAAAACAAUAUAAGCUAUCAUUCUUUCAACAUCCCCUCUUCAUUCAAAUAUGAAAACCAAUUAACCAUCCCUAACUUUUCACAGAAUACCUUAUGCUGCUCAACACUCAACCCUUUUGUAAAACCAUCUGCAGGUUGACUCUCAGAGUCAACCUUAACUGUUUCAAUAAUUCCUGAACCAACUUUUUCUCUCAGAAAAUGAAGGUCAACCUCAAAAUGCUUGGUUUUUUCAUGGAAGACAGGAUUGGCUGCUAUAGAUAUAGCAGCUUUACUGUCACAGUAUAAUUUAACUGGUAAUUCACAGUUAACACCAACUUCUCUCAAUAAGUUCAGCAACCACAUAAUCUCACAUGUUGCCGAACACAUGGCACGAUAUUCUGCCUCACCUGUAGACCUAGAAACAGUACUCUGUUUCUUGCUUUUCCAAGAAACUAAUGAACCACCAAGAUAUACACAAUAACCAGUCACAGACUUUCUUGUAGAUAGACAUUUAGCCCAGUCUGAGUCUACAAAACCAACUAAACCCAACUUAUCAUCCUUUUUAAACAGCAAACCACAACCUGGACCUGACUUGAGAUACCUUAAUAAUCUUAAAGCAAUCUGCAAGUGCAUAUCAGUUGGGCUGUGCAUAAACUGACUCAGAAACUGCACAGCAUAACUGAUAUCCGGUCGUGUCAAAGAAAGAUAAAUCAACUUACCAACCAGCUUUUGAAAACCAGUAAUAUUUUUCAAAACACUUUGGUUUUUAGAAAUCUUGGCAGUUAUUAGAUAACUUUGUUCAAUGGGUGUUUUAAUAGGUUUACAAGCUAAAUACCCAAACUCACUUAGAAGUUCUAAGCAAUAUUUUCUUUGAUUCAAACACACACCAGACUUGUUAUACAAAACCUCAAUACCCAAGAAAUAUUUCAACUUACCUAAGUCUUUGAUUUGAAAAUUCAAAUUCAAAACACCCUUAAUUUUAUUCACUUCAUCAAUAUUAUUCCCAGUAACAACAAUAUCAUCCACAUACACAAGAAGCACAAUAAACACACCAUUUCUAGACAACACAUACAUAGAAUGGUCACAUUUACUUUGCACAAAACCAUAAUCAACAAGAACACUGCUCAACUUUUCAUUCCACUUCCUAGGGGCCUGUUUCAGCCCAUACAACGAUUUAACCAAUUUACAAACUCUAGUCUCAUCAGGAGAAUAAUAACCCUUAGGCAAACACAUAUACACAUCUUCAUUAAUAGUGCCAUACAAGAAGGCAUUAUUAAUGUCAAGCUGAAACAUAGGCCAAUCAUUUUGAACAGCAAGGGCAAUUAUACAUCUCACAGUUACCAUUUUCACUACCGGUGAAAAGGUUUCCCCAAAAUCCAAGCCUUCCCUUUGAUUAAACCCCUUGGCCACAAGUCUAGCUUUGAACCUUUCUAUUUCUCCACUAGACUUGUACUUGACCUUAUAAACCCAUUUACAGCCAAUGGGUUUUCUACCAGGGGGUAAAUCAACAAGUGUCCAGGUGUUAUUUCUGAAUAAGGCCUCCAUUUCCUUAUUCAUUGCCUCGACCCACCUAGGGUCUUUAGCAGCCUCAUCAUAACAAGUGGGUUCAAGAGUUUUAUUCAACAAACUAACAAAGCUAAAGUUUUCUUUAGACAAACAAGCAUAAUUCACAGUUUUAUCAAUACUAUACUUAGCAUUUCCACUUAACACAUAAUCCUCAAACCUUUUUGGAACAACUGAAGUCCUAGUGGACUUUCUAAGACCUAGACCAGCACCCUCAGAUAGGUUGGUCUCAUCACUUGGUGUUCCACUGUCCUCUGCCUCGCCAUAAAACCCAGUUUCACUACUUCCUUCAUAACCAGUUGGAACUUGCUGAGGUUGAUCAGCAAUACUGGUUAUGGUAGAUGUGGAGGGUCCUAAUGGCUGCUGAUCAUCACUGGAACUACCAUGAGAGCCAUUAUUACCCUCUUCAUCAUCGGGCAUUUGUGAAACUUCAGGUGUUUCAGUAUCAUAGCAAUCAAAAAAGGUUAUAUGAUUUAAGGUUUUAUCAAUAAAAUCUGAAUUACCAACAUGUUUAUUCUUAAAAGGGUAAACAUCCUCAUAAAACUUGACAUCUCUAGAAAAUAAGACCUUCUUAUUAUCUAGACUCCACAAUUUAUACCCCUUCUUGACAUUAGAAUACCCAAUCAAUACACACUUAUCAGCAUGAUAAGUGAACUUGUCUGAUUCAUUUAACACAGUGCUAAAACACAAACACCCGAAGUUUCUAAGAUGCAUUAAAGAGGGUUUAAAACCAAAGACUAUCUCAUACGGACUUUUACCUAACAGCACAGAAGAGGGUAACCUGUUAAUCAGGUAAACAGCAGUCAGAACACAAUCAGACCAAAAACUCAGAGGUAGACCACCCUGAAACAUCAAGGCUCUAGCUAUAUUUAAUAGAUGCCUAUGUUUACGCUCAACCACACCAUUUUGCUGUGGUGUGUAAGCACAUGUUGUUUGAUGUAAAACACCUUUACUCCUUAUAAAACUACUCAUUCGAUUAUUUACAAACUCGGUUCCAUUAUCACUUCUGAAAAUCUUUACUCUUUUUUUAAACUGAGUUAAGAGUAAUUCAUAAAAAUCAGUUAUAUUUUCAAAAACUUCCAUUUUAUUUUUCAAUAAGUAACACCACACAGUUCGUGAGUAAUCAUCAACCACAGUUAGAAAAUAUUUAAACCCUUCAUUACUAGACACUCUGUAUGGACCCCAUACAUCUAAGUGAACUAAAUCACCUAUUUCUUUUGUUUUAUGAUCACUUAAAGGAAAUGGAACCCUCACUUGUUUUGCCUUAUGGCAAACUUCACAUGGACCAUGGUCUACAGUUUUAAUAUCUAGACACCCUUUUAAAACAGCUAGAACCUGAUCAGACGGGUGGCCUAGCCUACUAUGCCACAAACUUGACUUAAACACACUAUUCAAACAGACAUUAACAGAAUUACCAUGUUUUCCAACAAAGUAUAAACCAUUGUCCUGACUACCAGUCACCAGGACCUUCUUGGAUCUCAAAUCCUGAAGCAAACAACGAUUUUCAUCAAACAAGACUCCUAUCUUAUUAUCUUUAGCUAAUUUAAAGACAGACAGCAAAUUCACACUAUAACCAGGAACAUAAAACACAUCUUCAAGAAUGACAUUAUUAACAAGUUUUAUUUUACCAAUUUUACACACUUUAACAUUAGUUCCAUUUGGAUGACUUACUUUCAGAUUAUAAUCAGAAACAUCAACCCAAUCAAACAUGCCUUUAUCAGACUUGACCAUGUGUUGAUUAGCACCAGAAUCAACAAUCCAAUUAUACUCAAACUCAAACAUAGCAGAACUUGAACAACUAACAAAACCUGUAGCAAAGCUACAAGUUACAGAAGACUCACCUCCCAUAUUAGAUUUAGCCUGUUCACCACCAGAACUUUCUCCAACAAGACUCAACAACUUAGAAAUCUGCUCAGAAGUGAAAGGCAUAGCAGUACCAACAGAAUUUGAAGACCCAACAGUAGAAUUACUUUUAUUAUUAUUAUUAGACACAUUAGAUCUAUAAGACUGCCCACCUGAUCUUUUCCUAAAACCAGGUGGAUAUCCAAUAACCUCAUAACACCGGUCAACCGUAUGACCAAGCAUAUUACAAUGAGAACAUUUUAGGUUAGGAUUAGGACCCCUAGUAUUCUUCUUCCUAGAAUCAAAUGACUGAUUUGACUUAGUUACAAAAGACACAUUUUGACCCUUAGAUCCAUUUGAGGCCAGCCUAUGAGACUCCUCUCUGGACACAAUAGAAAAUGCAACCUUAACUGAAGGGAAUGGUUCUCUUGUUAACAAAUUUGUUCUUACAGGCUGAUAAAUAUCAUCAAGCCCCAUAAGAAACUGCAUUAGUUUAAUAAGUGUGGAAAAAUCAUUGUAAUCUUUAGCAGCCUGACAAGAACAUGUAGGAAGCUGCACCAUUGCAUCAAACUGCUUCCACAUGGUUGUCAGCCUGUUAUAGUAUUCAGCAACAGUGCUUCCAUUUUGAGAAAUACCAUUUAUUCUUUUAUACAAAUCAUACACAACAGAACCAUCCACCUUAUCAAAUGACUCUUUCAAAUCAGUCCAGACUUCUGAGGCAAGUUUAGAAAAAACUUGCCCCAGAAAUAACUCCUCAGAAAUAGAGUUUAAUAACCAUGUAAUCACAACUGAAUUACACCUUUCCCACUGAUUUGCUAAGACCUGAUCAUCUUUUGGUUUUAUACAUUUACCAUCAAUAAACCCAUAUUUAUUUUUUGCUUCUAAAGCAAGUCUCAUAGCAUUAGACCAGACAGGGUAAUUUUCAGUUCCUUUUAACUUUAUACUAACAAUGGUUAGGGUACUAGAGUCACUAGGGUGAAGGUACAGAGGGUCUCCAAUAUCAAGUUUGCUAAUCAUAGUAGCAGAGGUACUAGUAUCCCCCAUGAUCACAAACAGAUACACACCAAACAAACAACAGAUAAUCAAACAACAAGAAGACACAAAACAAACACUCAAAAAAGGCUAACUGUGACAGAGGCCAGAUUCCAGGUUCGUCACUCUAAAGGUGCCUGGACAAGCGUAUCACAGGAGCACAAACAAACAAGAAAUAUCAAACAAACAACAAACAAGGUGCCGGUCCUCACUACCCCGACUUCAACUAAUCAACCAACAAGACAAGAAAAACUAACUACAGAGAAGGAAAGAUCUCACAGUGGGUGCAAGUCUUCACACAAGAUGACAACUGUAACCUUCUAGGGUUACAAGUCAAUCACCAACAGCAAUGAACUAACACUGGUUGGUUUGCUCUGAAUCCUUCUAGGGUUUCAGAGACCAACGCAGUCUUCUCACAGAUUCCAAUGAAGGACCCAAGCAAAUCCUCCGAUUAGGGUUUCACAAACCCUAACUCAAUAUCACCCCCAAGAUCAACCAACUAGGGUUUCUCAAGAUCAGAAACCCUAAGACAACCUACAAGAAAAAACACAAAAGAGAUAUGAAACAGCGGAAGAACAAUCAAUCAACCAAGAGCUUGUUUAGCUCUGAUACCAUGUAGAAAACUUAUGGUAUCAAUCACACAGAACAAGAACAAAGCAAUAGCGACAAAACAGUGACCAAAAUCUUAUUAUUCACCCAAACCAGAAAACACCCCCCAAUACCCAAUGAUCUUACUAAAUGUAAGAUCUAUAUGAACAGAUGUUCAGAUCAACUGAUUUAAUCAGUUGAUCUAUAUGAAUACAAUACAAACAAGAACAAUACAGAAAGAAACAACCUGAUCUACAAAGCUUGAUCUCACAGUUGAGAUCUCACCAACAACACCAGCAGAUCAGUACAAUACAACAACAAGAAAUACAAAGGGUGAAACUAGAUCGGAGUGAAUGUGGAAGAUGAACAGAGAUGAU
rnacentral:lncRNA from 1 species